CUUGCGGGCGUUUGGGGCGGAUGGGAACUGCGGAUUUGAGGAGGAGGAAAGGGGUUUGGAAAUGACCCUUGGAAAGGGCUCUCUUGUGGGGUGAUAGAGAAGGGGCAAAGAGAUUAGAGAUAACGUCAAGAAGCGUGGGUGAGGAUAGUCCAGGUAUUCCCUGAGGAAGGACCUUCUCCCUUCCACUGAGGAGACUCCCACCGGGCAGCGGCCACCCAGGCUUUGUUCUGGGCCGCAUCCCCUGCCCACCACACCGGUGGGCCUUUCUCCUACUGCUAAGCCUCCCUUACCAGCCGCACUCUUUCUUGGGGCCAUCUACAGCCUCCACUCUAGUCCCUCUUCUGGCCAGUCCUCCAGCCACCCUGCUGUGAUGAUUAUUCUGUUAAGGGGGAUCUGACGGUCACUCCUGUGGUCCCAUGACUCCCAGGACUGGAUGGAAGCUCAGCCUGGCUUGGCUCAACACCCUGGGGAGCUGCCUGCUCCAGCCUCUGCCCAGGCCCCACAGCUGCAUUCUCACAGGGUCUGAGGUUAUCUCAGCUCGGGGCUCCUCUUGCCUUUGCUUGAAAUGCCAUGUGUGAAAGCCUUCGCGGCCAGCUCCAGUGCUGUGGGACUGGACCUCAUUUCUGUGUCUCCCUGGCUUUGGGGGUGGGGCUAGGGACAUGCAUGUAGCCUGGGUUAAUGCUUGGGUAGAGGCAAUUUUCCCUCUCUGACCCUGGCACACAAGUGUCCCCUUCUUUUUGCCUAUUGCUGUGCUGAAAACUUCCAGCCAUGGUGGGUGCCCUUCUCCCAUUUCUUCGUGGUUCCGGGUUCUUCCCACUUUUGAAUCCCAGAAUGGGUGUGCCUCCCACUGCUACUGCUUGAUUCUAGAGUCAAGCCACAUGGCAUUAUCUGCUUCCUAUGUCUGCCCCACUUGGGAGGUCUGCUCAGUGAGGAUGUCACAUCACAGCUUGGGCUGAGCUGUGUUUUCAGGAACUGCACUCCCCCUAUGAGGUCCCAGCUUAAGUGCUGGAUGGGCUUUUUUUUUAUUGCUUUGAUUUCAAUGUGACACACUCCCCUUCUCAAAGCAUUCAAGGUGCUUACUGUAACAUGGAACAUUAAGCGUUUUAUAUUUAGAAAUAUUUGUUAAAGGGUCUGUUAAAUUAUAAGAGUUAUAUAUCCUUGAAAAAUCUUCAGACAAUGCAAAAAAUAAUACAGGGAAAUUACCCUGACUCAACUCUACAGACCAUCAUCCAUCCAUCCUGAAAACCAGUGUUACAGUUGAGUGUGUCCCUCAGAUAUCUGUGCAUGAACAGAUGUUUAUACAUCAUUUUGCACACAUGGGGUUGUACUAUGCAUACAUUUUUUGCAACUUUAUCUUUGUUAUCUAACCAUAGAAGGAAAGUUUUUCAUGUCAGCACAUGUAAAUCUACCCCACUCUUCUAAAUGGGUGUGUUUUAUAUGGUUUCCAUAAUUUAGUUUUCCUAUUAAUGGACAUUCAAGCAGUUCCUCAAGCAAUUUUUACAGUUAUUAGCAAGGCUCUAGUAGAUUCAAUAUUAUUUGUAACACUGAAGACUUGUACCGGUACAUGUAACAUUUUCAGAUGGAAGGUGAGAGAGGUUAGAGAAGACAAACCUUUUGUAAUGAUGACUGUGACUGUGGUUCACAACAGUAGAUCUCUAAUAUACAGAUGCAUUCAUAUGUGCAUGUGUGUGUAUGUGUGCAUGUGUGUGUAUCUCUGUGUAGACAGAGUGCUUUCCCUUAACUCACAAGAGUGGAGGUGUCAAGGAAACAGCCAAGUCUGUAGUGGCCAUCUCGCACUCCUGGAAGUGAGCUGCAGCUAGCUUGGGAGGCUGUCCAGCCUUGCAGCUGAGAAAAGGUGGCAGCCAUGCAGAUGGCAGCCCCUUGGUGCAGAGCAAGACAGAGGAUGAGGGGCGUGCCAAAGCAAGAUGCAAACCCACCAAAGAGGCUUUGUGACCCCAGUGAUAUUUUUCACAGAAAGUGGUGGAUUUUCAAAUGUAACCACAGUGGCAUCCGCCCUGCAGAGUUGGAGAGCAGAUGCAAUGGUGCAAGCCCUGGGGAUGCUUGCUUGCUGUAGAGCCAGGUGUGCGGAGGGCUGGGUGGGGCCUGCCCCUCACUACCAGGUAAGCUCCCACACCCCACACUGAAGCGCUCAUGCAGGGCGGUGUGAAGAAAUGGGAACAAAUGCCCUCUAUCAAGCAAGCCCCUCAUUUUUAAAAGCAUCCAGAGAGAGACAGGAUAAGAGUAACUGGUUUCUAUGCUGAAUUUAAACAGGUCUUUGUUUUUUUCAUGGUGUUUGCUCUUAAAACAAUGAAGUAAAAUGAUUUUAAAUUACAUUAAUUAAAGACAUAUUCAGAAUGUGUAAUCAGGCAAAAUCAUUGAUAGAAAAUUAAUCAGGGCUCUGUGCCACAGCGACUAAGAGGCUGAUGUCAAGGACAACCUGGAAUUAGUGGCCUGCUGUCUGCCCUUGCCUAACCAGGUCUAUGGAAAUGAUACUGUCCCCUUAGAAGGAGUUAGCUUGUUUGGGCCUAGAAAGACCUUUGAGGUCUGGAGUUGUCAGCGCCUUGCUUUAUCUCAAUUAUAAACAUCUAUCAUUCUUACCUUCCUUCUGCCGCUCCCACUUUCCUCCACCUCAGGUUCAUCCGGGAUGCUGUCUUCUCAUGCCGGAACUUCUGCAAUGGUCUCCUAAUUGGCAACCCCACUUCUAGUCUGGUGUCUUCUAAUGCUUCUGGUCCUUUCCAGAGAAAAUUUUAUCCUGCCGACCCACUGCUCAACCCACGAGGACUGUCCAGGGUCCCUACGAGAACAUCAGAAAGUCUGACUUGCUAAUUGGUUUCACCUUGAAGACUGGCUUUGCCGAGGAGCUUAUCCAUGUAGGCAAUUCUGGGAGAGAGGAACAGUGCUGCUGACAGCUACUGAAGAGGCUUUGGUGAAGCCUAGUUUAGUGGGCUUCCAGAAAGUAGAAGUGAGUGACUUUACAGGUGAUGACUGUCCACAUGCAGGUCAAUGGCUCCCAAGUCUUUACUUUCAACACAACUGAGAGAAGACCUACUAGCGUUAGCAACUGUUACAGGCUGAAUUGUUGAAUUCAACUGUAUAUGUUGAAUGUAUAUGUUCAUAUGUUGAAAUCCUAAUCCCCGGUACUUCAGAAUGUGACCUUAUUUGGAAAUAGGGAGUCUUUCCAGUUAAAUGAGAUUAGGGUGGGUCCUAAUCCAAUAUACUGGUGUCUUUAUGAAAAGGAGAAAUUCACACCCACAAAGACUAUCCUGUGAAAAUAAAGGCAGAGAUUGGGGGUGACUCCUCUAUAAGCCAAGGAGCCCCAAAGAGGGCUGGCAACCCACCAGAAGUGAGGGAGAGGUAUGGGACAGACUCUUCCUAAUAGCCCUCGGAAGGCAUAGGACAAUACAUUUCUGUUGUUAAGCCAUCUAGUUUGUGAUACUUUGUUACAGCAAUUACUAACAAAUUAAUACAGCAAUUUACAGAUCAUUAAAAUUACCUUUUGAUGAUAGAUCACUAUUGGUUUUGUUUUGUUUUGUUUUUUGUCAAAAAAAAAAGUUGGAACUUGUGUUAAAAAAUUGAGUGGCUCUGCUCUAACAAAAUCAACUAUUUAUUCAGGGGAUCAAGAUUUCUCAGUGCUUAUCUUGUAUGAAAAACUAAAACAAGAAAAUAGGAAAAUAAUUGAUGCUGAGCCAUGUCUCAUUCUAGUAAUCAGUAAUAUUAUCAUAUAGGUUAAUUAAUCAGGCCCUAUCCAUCUCAGUAGGGGUUGAAUUUCUCCUUAAAGUUACUUUGCAAUAAAACGUAUUUUGAGAUAAUUGUAGAAUAGCAUUGCUGUUAUGAGAAAUAACAACAGAGAUCCCCUAUACUCUUCACCCAGCUUCCCCCAUGGUAACAUUUUCUAUAACUACAGUACAAUAUCACCAAAAGUUAUUUUUUUGUUUUUAAUACUUAAUUUUCAAUAUUUACAGUUUAUGAUAUUUUUGAACAAUUGUGCACUACUAAUAGCUGUAAUGAUGGCAUAACCUAGAUAAAUGUUUAAUACCUAAAAUUUAUGGUUACAAGGAAUUAAAAUUUCAAUUUAUAUGCCUUUUUGGCAAAGAAGUAUGAUCAAUAAAAGAUCUUCAAGCACAAGACCAUAUUACAUUAGAGUAAGCUUCUGUGGAGGAAGGAUAGAAUUCAUAGUUUCAAGGAGAUAAAGGAAUGAUAAAAAAUUUCCAAAAGUUAAAUAAGAACUUAUUCUUGUAUUUUUUUAAAACAGGUGAUGGUAGAAAUAAAAUUGAUAAUAUAAUUUAUUUUUAUUCUAUUAGAAACAGAAGAGUGAUAUAAAGGUUUUAUUUAAAAUAUUCAAUAUAUAUUUACAACAAAUUGAAAUUUAUACACUUUACAAUUAUUUAUGAUUAUAAAUGUUUGAUGACAAGUUAAAACUGAGUAAUAGCAUUACUCAUGAUAGCUAAAACAGGGAAGUAACCCUGGUGUCCAUAGAGGGAUAAAAUGGAUAAAUAAAUGUUAAUAUAUCCAUACAAUGGAAUAUUAUUCAGCCUUAAAAAGGAAGGGAAUUCUGACAUAUACCACAACAUGGCUGAACUAUGAGGACCUUCCUUAUGUUAAGUGAAAUAAGCCAGCCACAAAAAGACAAGUACUUUAUGAUUCCACUUAACAUGAAGUACACAGAAUAGUCAAAAUCAUAGAGGCAGGACAUCAAAUGGAGUUCGCAUGGGCUGGGGGUAGGGGAAUGGGGCUCAAUGGAUAUAUAGUUACAGUUUUGCAAGAAAAGAGUUCCAAAGAUGAAUGGUGGUGAUGGUUGCAUAAUAUGAAUGUACUUAAUACCACUGAACUGUACAGUUAAAAAUGGUGAAGAUGGAAAAUACUGUU